GAUGAAGAACGUAGCGAAAUGCGAUACGUAAUGUGAAUUGCAGAAUUCAGUGAAUCAUCGAAUCUUUGAACGCACAUUGCGCCCGCCAGCACUCUGGCGGGCAUGCCUGUUCGAGCGUCAUUUCAACCAUCAAGCCCCCGGCUUGUGUUGGGGACCUGCGGCUGCCGCAGGCCCCGAAAAGCAGUGGCGGGCUCGCUGUCACACCGAGCGUAGUAGCAUACAUCUCGCUCUGGGCGUGCUGCGGGUUCCGGCCGUUAAACCACCUUCAUAACCCAAGGUUGACCUCGGAUCAGGUAGGAAGACCCGCUGAACUUAAGCAUAUCAAUAAGCGGAGGA
rnacentral:misc_RNA from 1 species